CAGCAGCCACGGUAAUACGAAGGGGGCUAGCGUUGCUCGGAAUGACUGGGCGUAAAGGGCGCGUAGGCGGCGAUCAAAGUCAGGCGUGAAAUUCCUGGGCUCAACCUGGGGGCUGCGCUUGAUACUUGGUUGCUUGAGUGGGGAAGAGGGUCGUGGAAUUCCCAGUGUAGAGGUGAAAUUCGUAGAUAUUGGGAAGAACACCGGUGGCGAAGGCGGCGACCUGGUCCUUGACUGACGCUGAGGCGCGAAAGCGUGGGGAGCAAACAGGAUUAGAUACCCGAGUAGUCCCUGUCUCUUAUAA
rnacentral:rRNA from 1 species